rnacentral:rRNA from 1 species
AAGUCGAACGAUGAUGCCCACUUGUGGGUGGAUUAGUGGCGAACGGGUGAGUAACACGUGAGUAACCUGCCCUUAACUCUGGGAUAAGCCUGGGAAACUGGGUCUAAUACCGGAUAUGACUCCUCAUCGCAUGGUGGGGGGUGGAAAGCUUUUUGUGGUUUUGGAUGGACUCGCGGCCUAUCAGCUUGUUGGUGAGGUAAUGGCUCACCAAGGCGACGACGGGUAGCCGGCCUGAGAGGGUGACCGGCCACACUGGGACUGAGACACGGCCCAGACUCCUACGGGAGGCAGCAGUGGGGAAUAUUGCACAAUGGGCGAAAGCCUGAUGCAGCGACGCCGCGUGAGGGAUGACGGCCUUCGGGUUGUAAACCUCUUUCAGUAGGGAAGAAGCGAAAGUGACGGUACCUGCAGAAGAAGCGCCGGCUAACUACGUGCCAGCAGCCGCGGUAAUACGUAGGGCGCAAGCGUUAUCCGGAAUUAUUGGGCGUAAAGAGCUCGUAGGCGGUUUGUCGCGUCUGCCGUGAAAGUCCGGGGCUCAACUCCGGAUCUGCGGUGGGUACGGGCAGACUAGAGUGAUGUAGGGGAGACUGGAAUUCCUGGUGUAGCGGUGAAAUGCGCAGAUAUCAGGAGGAACACCGAUGGCGAAGGCAGGUCUCUGGGCAUUAACUGACGCUGAGGAGCGAAAGCAUGGGGAGCGAACAGGAUUAGA